rnacentral:lncRNA from 1 species
UGCUGUAAGAGGGAAUUGGGCUGCUGGGUUGGAAAUUGCUUCUGAUUGAUGCCCGUUAUAUGAGAAGCGUUAAGAAGGUUGCCCUGUUGCUGCUGUACUUGUUGCAAUCUUUGCAAGUACUUCUCCCUUUGGUCGGUUACCUAAGGUCUUCCACGAAAUUGACCCUGAAAAUGUGAACAAGUAAAUGUCAUAUAAUCCUAUAAUCCUAUGAAUAUUUUAUGACCUCGGUGGUAGAUUAACACUCUAAAUGAAUAAAAUCUACAAUAGAGAAAACACAGUUAUUUAGAUGUUUCAGACUGACACUGGAUCAAGAUGAAACAACAAGAAUUCAAGAUUGGAUGAUGAAAAUUUUC